rnacentral:lncRNA from 1 species
ACUUUUACAUAUGAAGAUAGCAACGUAAAAACAUCUGGCACAGCCAUAUUAACAAGGGAAUAGGAGGGAGCGCUCUCCCCUCCUCUGGGAGGCUGGAGACUCGGGGACAGAAGAUGCGCUGGAGGGAAGAGAACGGAGCGUCGGACACCAGAAAAACUUUGGGGGAUUCGGGGUGAGAAAGAAGGCGUGAAGAGAGAAGGGAGGCUCAGCAGGGGAGGAGGGGCGGGGGCGGUGGUGUGGCUGGCUGCGGCCAGAAUCGGAGCCCCAACCGCGCUGCCGGCGCCCCUCACGCCUCCCUCGGGGUCUCUGUGUCUCUCUCCCGCUCCCGGACUCCCUCCUCCUUCUGACUGCUGUUAUUUGGGCUGUUGUCCCUCCCCGCUCCCUGGUACCUCAGCUCGGACCUUAGCCUGUGCCUGCAGCCCGGAGUCCCCUCCUGCCCUGGAAGGCAAGGAGCCAGGCCACGGGGCCACAGCCGCGGGGGCCACCACACUGGCCCAAAUAUUUCCUGCAGUGCCACCAUGCCUGGCUAAUUUUGUAUUUUUAGUAGAGAUGGGGUUUCUCCAUGUUGGUCAGGCUGGUUUCGAACUCCUGAUCUCAGGUGAUCCGCCAGCCUCAGCCUCCCAAAGUGUCAGGAUUAUAGGUGUGAGCCACUGUGCCUGGCCUGGGGUUAAUUUUUGAAAGCAAGUUAUAAAAUGGAAAGCACUAUAAUUUUACUCUUUGAAAAUACAUCGAGAAAAUACUGGAAUUAUGUGCAUCAAAAUGGAUGGUGAGAGUAUAGCUGUUUUUAAAUUUUCUUUGUACUUGUAUUUCUCAACUUUUAUAGUAAUAAUAGCUAACAUUUACUGAGAACUAAGCACUUACAUAUGGUAUUUUAUUCGAAAACUCUUUGAGGUAAAUAUUACUAUUAUUUUCAUUAUGGAGUUUCAGAAACUAGAACCAGAAGGGUAACUCAUCCAUGGUCACACAGCCACUAAGUGCUGGAAUCAAGUGUUGAAUUCAGGUCGGUGGCUAAAGUCUAUGCAUCUCUGUCACUACUGUCUACCAUCUCCCUGCACAUACUCCAGCCUCGGCAACAGAGCGAGACCCUGUCUCCUAAGAGGGGGUGAGGAGGGAGAAAAACAAAAACAAAAACACACUGAUACGUAAAAUGGAAAAUGCCUCCCAUCUCUUCCAGCUCCGCCAGUCACUUCUCUUUAGAAGUCUUUGGUAACUGCUCCAGAUUUAGAGGUAGCUCACCCCUUCCUUGCAAACCAGCUCCACUCACAAGAAGAAUCCCGAAUUCCAUGGAGGCUUCCUGGCCAGCCUGGAAUUCCAGGUACCUUAUGGGAUUCUGGAGCAGUCCUCAGUACAGGGCAAGAUUUUUAAAGUCACUUCUGGGACUAGGUUUUCCCAGGAGGGAUCAUGAAGUCCCCAAGUGAUUGAAUUAAGUGGCAUGAAUUUGGGACUCUGAUUUUUAGGCCUCACCAUGGAGUGUGUUCAUGACAGGCCCUUAGCACUGGGCAGAGCUGCAAAGAUGAGACCAAGAGAUGGACCAGAGUUCGCCUAAAGUGAGGCAGGAGGCCACAACCUAGUUGUUAAGCAAACAUAGAGCUACGAGGCAUGGCCAGGAUGAGAAGCCCUGAGGCGGGGAUAGCAGUCAGUGUCCCAUGGUCGUGCGGGGUCAAAGCUGGCCUGAGAUCACCAGGAAACAAGUGUGGAAGCAGGCUGGGCAGUGUGCUUUCAGGGAUAUGCUGAAAAUGUGCCCUGCUCUCAGGGAAGACUUCCAGAAAUCUCUGUGAAAGCCAUCAAUGCCAGCUGUUUGUCUCAAGUUAUCUGAAGGGUGGUCAAGUGAAAAGUGUUUAGAUUUAGUUGAUGUCUCCCGGAGCAUAGAUAGAAGCCGGGAGGAGGUUAAUUUGCGGUUAAUAGGAAGGAGAAAAGUUUAAUCUUGUCUACAUGAUAAUGAGAUGAACUCACUUAUACAGUAAUGAGGUCUCCUUCAUUGGAAGAGUUUACGCAGCACAGGGUAAUUCCUCAUCAGGAACAUUGUAUUAGGGAUUUCUGAAUUGUGAGCAUUGGGCUAGAUGCGUUUUAAAGUUUUUUUCUGCUUCUCAUGUCCUUACCAAAUCAAGUCUAGGUAAACACUUUCAGAUCCCAUAGCCCUUCCUUUUGUGAAAUGAUCUCAGCAUGCCCUGAUGUCCUGGUGACCAGCCUUUGGUAACUCUUUAGUCUUUGAAUGUCCCCCUUAAAGUGGAGCUCCUUGAAUGGGACCUCAUGUGCCAGGAUGUGGCUUGGUCUUUGCUGAAUGAAUAAGCAGGGGAUGUGUGAUACAAGAAUUUGUACCAGAACCUUUGGCCAACAUUUCCCCAAGGCCCAGCAUCCAAUGGUAGAGAUCCUGGGUGACUCUCUGUAGAUGGUGGUCCUUCACUUCUCAUAUAGGCCAUUCCAAUCUGAAUGCAGCUUGUUUUGUGUGUGGGAAGGAAUUACGUUUUAGGGUAUUAAAUAUCCUUUCUGGGCCAUUUAGUUACUUGUCUCCUCUCAAAACACUAAAAGCAAUUACAUGGUAAUUAAGAUAAAUUACUUGACCAAUUUUCAUAGCAAACUGAUUGGUUUCACUUAUCCCCCCACUGA